GUGGCUCAGUGGUAGAGCACUCACCUGGCAUGUGUGAGGCACUGGGUUCCAUCCUCAGC
rnacentral:tRNA from 1 species